rnacentral:rRNA from 1 species
GACGAACGCUGGCGGCGUGCCUAAUACAUGCAAGUAGAACGCACAGUUUAUACCGUAGCUUGCUACACCAUAGACUGUGAGUUGCGAACGGGUGAGUAACGCGUAGGUAACCUGCCUGGUAGCGGGGGAUAACUAUUGGAAACGAUAGCUAAUACCGCAUAAUAUUAAUUAUUGCAUGAUAAUUAAUUGAAAGGUGCAAUUGCACCACUACCAGAUGGACCUGCGUUGUAUUAGCUAGUAGGUGAGGUAACGGCUCACCUAGGCGACGAUACAUAGCCGACCUGGGAGGGUGAUCGGCCACACUGGGACUGAGACACGGCCCAGACUCCUACGGGAGGAAGCAGUAGGGAAUCUUCGGCAAUGGACGAAAGUCUGACCGAGCAACGCCGCGUGAGUGAAGAAGGUUUUCGGAUCGUAAAGCUCUGUUGUAAGAGAAGAACGGGUGUGAGAGUGGAAAGUUCACACUGUGACGGUAUCUGACCAGAAAGGGACGGCUAACUACGUG